CUUUUGACCUAAAAAACAGGAACAUUCUAACACCGAUGACGUGACCGAAAGAGAAAGAGAAAGAGACAAGAAACGUUUCGUAAAUGGCAACAUCAAAACGUGACAGAGGACACAAAUCGCGUGGAAGUGAAAAAAAGAGUUACGUAUCUCUUCAUAUUCUUCUUCUUCUUCUUCUUCUUUCACCGUUACUUCUUCUCUUCCAUUACUAGCUCUCUUCUAUUCUUUCUGAAACUGUGAUUCGAAGAAGAGCUUAGUAAUGGAAGAGAGCGUCAUUUUUCAAUGGAGUGUUAUCAGAUCUGUGUUGUCAAUCCUUCAAUGGUGGGCUUUCAAUGUCACUGUUAUCAUCGUUAACAAGUGGAUCUUCCAGUGCUGACGUGGAGAUUACGAGUUCAAAUCCUAGAAACAACCUUUACACGUGCAAGACUAAGGCUG